AUGUUCACUGUUAUAUUCAUGUGUCUGUGGCUUUCACUAGGUGACUCCAUGCCAGAUUCAAUACAGCCACUUUUCACAACUCCUAAAGUUGUAGAUGAAGGUGUUAAUGUUACUCUGUCCUGCAGAUACAACACUUCCAGUACUGCAGCAAACACCUACCUGCAGUGGUACAGACAAUAUCCAAAAUCUAAACCUGAGUUCCUACUUUACAUCACUGCAAGUGGCCGUAAAAGUGACCCUCUUCCAUCACGUCUGUCUGCUGAAGUUGAUGAUAAAAAUAAACAGGUGGAUCUGCUCAUCUCCUCUGCUGCUGUAUCAGACUCUGCACUAUACUACUGUGCUCUGCAGCCCACAGUGACAGGAAAUCCAACUGCACUGUACAAAAACUUUAACACAGUUUUGUUAUAUUGAAAGCAUGAAUGAAUGAAGACAUUCUUUCACAAUAUGAGCGCAGAGCUUGAAGGGAUCUUUGAGAAAAGGUGAUGCGAUCUUAAUUCCUAGGGCAUUGACUGGACAGAAGACGGGCUUUCUACAAGUUAGUUGUGAUUAACUUCAACUUUACCAGCCUCAGAGCAGGUUAGAUGUGUAGAGUAAGUGAUCUACUACAGCUAAAAAGAGAGCCACCUUUAUGAUACAGAUAAGCCAGAGUUUAACCCAAAGUUAGCUCGCUAACCCUGAAAUCCUGCUUCAUGGUACAGCCCUCAGCAUAAACAAUUACUGAAUAUGAAUGAGUGUGCAGUUCCCUCUGAAAGUAUUGGAACACAAAGCCAGUUCAUCUGUUUUGCUCUACACUGAAGACAUUGGCGUUUGAGAUCAAAAGUUGAAUAUGAGUUGAUAGAUCAGAAUUUCAGCUUUCAUUUCCUGAUAUUUACAUCUAGACGUGUUAAACAACUCAGAGCAAGGCAUCUUUGGCAGCAGACUGCCCA